rnacentral:lncRNA from 10 species
AACAUUAAUUCAAAAUUAAUCAAAGACUUAAAUGCAAGUAGGCAAAAAAUUCUUUAAAGGAACACACACACAAAAAAAGCUAUAAAAAUAUAAAUUAAUAAAUUAGACUUAAUCAAAUUUAAAUGUUUGCUUUAUAAAAGACACUGCUUAGGCCAGGCAUGGUGGCUCACACCUGCAAUCCCACCACUUUGCGAGGCAGAUGUGGGAAGAUCACCUGAGGUCAGGAGUUCGAGACCAACCUGGCCAAUGUGGUGAAAGUCUGUCUCAACUAAAAAUACAAAAACCGGCUGGCAUUGUGGCAGGUACCUUCACUGGGCAUUGGAGCAGGUGCCUGUAGUCCCAGGUUCUUGGGAGGCUGAGGCAGGAGAAUCACUUGAACCCAGGAGGCAGAGGUUGCAGCGAGUGGAGAUGUAGCCACUGCACUCCAGCCUGGGCAACAGAGCGAGACCCCGUCUCAAAACAAAAACAAAAACAAAAAAUAAAUCAAAUAAAAAAUAAAAACAAACAAAAUCAAAGUAUUCUCUAAGAUUUAGGGGAACUAAAAGAACUGUUUGUUCUUUUACCCAUAAUAAUUAUGUUCUAACGUAUUAUACAACAAUACGUUUGUUUUCACCAUAUUUUGUCUCCAAUGCUUUUGUUCUGAUGUUUUCAUAUUAUGUACAAUAUUUUUUAUUGCACUAAGUUUCAGAUUUGGGAAACUUGCCUAGCUGCUUUUAUGAAAAUCAACAUAGAAACUACUGCAAUCCUUCAUCAAUGGAGGGACCACCAUGGUUCAGAGAUGCUAGACUUCCAACUGGCCCAUGUUCUAAUGGACCUUUGUGUUGUCUCCCAUAGGGAAAAGCUAAAUGUAUUUGGCUUUUAGGAAGGAGAGCAGCCAGAAUAAUUGGUGGCCCUAUGGUGCUCUGUGAUGGUCAUAUGGUCAUUCUGAUCCACAGUCUUCUAGUAACGUAGCAUGUGCAGAUUGUAGUUCUUACUUCCUCAGAAAUAGAUGUGGACAUAUGACACAUUUGUUCUGGAAAAUGAGGUGUCCCUUCCAGAUGUUUGAGAGUCAGUGAGCAAUCUAUCGGGUCCCUUUUUACCUUACCUUGACAAAAUAAUUGAUUAUUUUGAUUGUAGAGGAUCUACAAAUCAGGGUUUAUUAGUGAAAUAGAGACCACCAACCAAAUCAUGAUAGAUUUUUAUGACACAGAAAUAGGAGUUUAUGGUUAUAAGCCAGUAUGAUUUGGCGUGGGGGAGAGGAAUUACUUAUUAUUGCAGCAUAAGCUAAUGUAUCCAGAUGGAUACAUCCAGGAAAUUCAGAAGUAUGAAUUCAUUAAGAAGACCAGAAAGUUCAGUCAUUAGGAUUACAGCAAAAAUAAUUAUUAGACACAAGAGGCAUUUCACCUGCUCUGUCUCUUGGCCCCAUAUGCAGCCAUAGUGACUGUCCUUUUUCUCCUUUUCUCCCUUGCCACAGCACCCACAAUUCAGAUUGCUUUCCUUUUUCCCUCAUAACUUCUACCAACCAUUUGCUUCUUUGGGGACAGAUCUUCCCUAAGACAAAUAGAAAAUUGUAGCAUGAAUCAUAAAAUCUUAGCCUCUUAAAUCCUUGCUGCACCUGAAAAUUACCAUGCGAGAUCAUUUCUUAAUGUUGAGUUUUAUGCCUAAUUAUUAUUAGUAAAUAGACUGAGCAUCACAUUCAAUGGAAAGUUACAUGACUAUCUUAUAUAUGCAUGCUGUAUCUGGUCUAAAGUUUCUAUUUUCAUGGCUAAAAUAGCUACAAGGAACCUGAUCAUUGUCUUAUCUUCUACUUUUAUUCCCAAUGGCAGGUAGGGCUUCCUAAUACUCCUAACUCCUUCUAAUCCAGCAGUAGUUCUUCAACAUCAGUGUUCCUUUUGUACAACACUGGUUUCAGUUCUAGGAACAUCUCAGGCUCUCUAAGAUAUCUGAGCCUUUUUUAAACUGUUUAUUCUCCCAGGAAUGACCUGGAAAAUGUAUUGACCACUGACCAACUUUUAUUUUAUUAUUAUUAUUACUAUUAUUAUUACUUUGUGUGUGUACGUGAGAUGGAGUUUCGCUCUUUUGCCCAGGCUGGAGUGAAGUGGUGUGAUCUUGGCUCACUGCAACCUCCACCUCGCGGGUUCAAGUGAUUCUCCUGCCUCAGCCUCCCUAGUAGCUGGGAUUACAGGCAUGUGCUACCACGCCCGACUAAUUUUUGUAUUUUUAGUAGAGACGGGGUUUCAGCAUGUUGGCUAGGCUAGUCUUGAACUCCUGACCUCAAGUGAUCCACCUGCCUCAGAAACUGCUAAGAUUACAGGCAUGAGCCACGGCACCUGGCCACUGACCAACUUUGAAGACCAAGGAUCAAGGAUCAACUCCACAUUGAAGAUGUUGGAGCCUCACCAUAUUACCUCUGGCAUCCCACCAAGAAGCCCCCCCCAUAUCCCCCUGACCUUCACCAUGUCAAUGUCCACCAGGCUGAUUUCUACCUGCCGGUACUUGCAUCUUAUCGCAUGAGAGCUUUCCCCACCUGCUGAUCACACUUUGCCCACAUUCAUGGCAGGCCAGAUGUUCCACUGAAUUGGAGGUUUAGAAUAGCUCCCAAGCAAUUUUUGGUAAAUGGUGUAUGACUAUCCCAGCUCCCUUACCCUUGAAGUUUGAUCAUUUUUAGGCAUAUUUGGUGAAAUCCUAUCUCUACUAAAAACACAAAAAACAGAAGGGUGUGGUGGUUCACUCCUGUAAUCUCAGCUACUCGGGAGGCUGAGGCAGGAGAAUCGCUUGAGCCUGGGAGGCAGAGGUUGCAGUGAGCCAAGAUCGUGCCACUGCACUCCAGCCUGGGUGACAGAGCAAGACUCCAUCUCUAAAUAAAUAAAUAAAAUAAAAUCAUAUGAAAUAAAAAAGAGCCCAAAUAGCCAAAGAAAUACUAA